rnacentral:rRNA from 1 species
CAAUAGCGUAUAUUAAAGUUGUUGCGGUUAAAAAGCUCGUAGUUGGAUUUCUGUGGAGGACGGCCGGUCCGCAUUUUGUGCGAGUAUCUGGUACGGCCUUUACAUCCUCUUGUGGAACGUUGCGGUGCUUCAUUGCAUUGCGCGGAAUGCAAGACUUUUACUUUGAGGAAAUUAGAGUGUUCACGGCAGGCAUGCGCCUUGAAUAUAUUAGCAUGGAAUAAUAAUAUAGGCUUUUCGCCCUAUUUUGUUGGUUUCUAGAGCGAAGAGAAUGGUUAAUAGGGAUAAUUGGGGGCACUCGUACUAGAGCGUCAGAGGUGGAAUUCUUAGAUUGCUCUAUGACGAACUACUGCGAAAGCAUUUGCCAAGGAUGUUUUCAUUG